rnacentral:rRNA from 1 species
UACGAAGGGGGCUAGCGUUGCUCGGAAUCACUGGGCGUAAAGCGCACGUAGGCGGAUUUUUAAGUCAGGGGUGAAAUCCUGGAGCUCAACUCCAGAACUGCCUUUGAUACUGGGAAUCUCGAGUCCGGAAGAGGUGAGUCGGAAUUCCUGGUGUAGCGGUGAAAUGCGCAGAUAUCAGGAGGAACACCAAUGGCGAAGGCAGCUCGCUGGGACGGUACUGACGCUGAGACGCGAAGCGUGGGGAGCAAACAGG